CUCUUAUUCCGAGCUGGUGGAGGGUGCAGGCCCAAUGAAACCCGGCAACCUGCUGCAAUUGCAGCGAUGGUGCCCAACCUGAAGCAAGGCGAAUGCCUUGGACGAUAAGAG
rnacentral:ncRNA from 1 species